UGUACGGCCCGCCCAUAGCUCCUUCGACGGCGCCGCCUAGGAACGCGGAGAAAAUAUGACAAAGGAACGGCCAAAAAUAAAAAGAAAGACCUUUCUUUUGAAAAAACAAACAAAAAAAAGAAAUGCAACACGAGGACUUCCCAGGAGGUCACCCAUCCUAGUACUACUCUCGCCCAAGCAUGCUUAACUUCGGAGUUCUGAUGGGAUCCGGUGCUUUAGUGUUGGUAUGAUCGCAUCCGACAUACCGUGCGUUCUCCUCCCCUUUAUGCCCGCGCCUCCGUGUACGGCCCGCCCAUAGCUCCUUCGACGGCGCCGCCUAGGAACGCGGAGAAAAUAUGACAAAGGAACGGCCAAAAAUAAAAAGAAAGACCUUUCUUUUGAAAAAACAAACAAAAAAAAGGAAUGCAACACGAGGACUUCCCAGGAGGUCACCCAUCCUAGUACUACUCUCGCCCAAGCACGCUUAACUUCGGAGUUCUGAUGGGAUCCGGUGCUUUAGUGCUGGUAUGAUCGCAUCCGACAUACCGUGCGUUCUCCUCCCCUUUAUGCCCGCGCCUCCGUGUACGGCCCGCCCAUAGCUCCUUCGACGGCGCCGCCUAGGAACGCGGAGAAAAUAUGACAAAGGAACGGCCAAAAAUAAAAAGAAAGACCUUUCUUUUGAAAAAACAAACAAAAAAAAGGAAUGCAACACGAGGACUUCCCAGGAGGUCACCCAUCCUAGUACUACUCUCGCCCAAGCACGCUUAACUUCGGAGUUCUGAUGGGAUCCGGUGCUUUAGUGCUGGUAUGAUCGCAUCCGACAUACCGUGCGUUCUCCUCCCCUUUAUGCCCGCGCCUCCGUGUACGGCCCGCCCAUAGCUCCUUCGACGGCGCCGCCUAGGAACGCGGAGAAAAUAUGACAAAGGAACGGCCAAAAAUAAAAAGAAAGACCUUUCUUUUGAAAAAACAAACAAAUAAAAGGAAUGCAACACGAGGACUUCCCAGGAGGUCACCCAUCCUAGUACUACUCUCGCCCAAGCACGCUUAACUUCAGAGUUCUGAUGGGAUCCGGUGCUUUAGUGCUGGUAUGAUCGCAUCCGACAUACCGUGCGUUCUCCUCCCCUUUAUGCCCGCGCCUCCGUGUACGGCCCGCCCAUAGCUCCUUCGACGGCGCCGCCUAGGAACGCGGAGAAAAUAUGACAAAGGAACGGCCAAAAAUAAAAAGAAAGACCUUUCUUUUGAAAAAACAAACAAAUAAAAGGAAUGCAACACGAGGACUUCCCAGGAGGUCACCCAUCCUAGUACUACUCUCGCCCAAGCACGCUUAACUUCGGAGUUCUGAUGAGAUCCGGUGCUUUAGUGCUGGUAUGAUCGCAUUCGACAUACCGUGCGUUCUCCUCCCCUUUAUGCCCGCGCCUCCAUGUACGGCCCGCCCAUAGCUCCUUCGACGGCGCCGCCUAGGAACGCGGAGAAAAUAUGACAAAGGAACGGCCACGAAUAAAAAGAGAGACCUUUCUUUUGAAAAAACAAACGCCUCCGUGUACGGCCCGCCCAUAGCUCCUUCGACGGCGCCGCCUAGGAACGCGGAGAAAAUAUGACAAAGGAACGGCCAAAAAUAAAAAGAAAGACCUUUCUUUUGAAAAAACAAACAAAAAAAAGGAAUGCAACACGAGGACUUCCCAGGAGGUCACCCAUCCUAGUACUACUCUCGCCCAAGCACGCUUAACUUCGGAGUUCUGAUGGGAUCCGGUGCUUUAGUGCUGGUAUGAUCGCAUCCGACAUACCGUGCGUUCUCCUCCCCUUUAUGCCCGCGCCUCCGUGUACGGCCCGCCCAUAGCUCCUUCGACGGCGCCGCCUAGGAACGCGGAGAAAAUAUGACAAAGGAACGGCCAAAAAUAAAAAGAAAGACCUUUCUUUUGAAAAAACAAACAAAUAAAAGGAAUGCAACACGAGGACUUCCCAGGAGGUCACCCAUCCUAGUACUACUCUCGCCCAAGCACGCUUAACUUCGGAGUUCUGAUGGGAUCCGGUGCUUUAGUGCUGGUAUGAUCGCAUCCGACAUACCGUGCGUUCUCCUCCCCUUUAUGCCCGCGCCUCCGUGUACGGCCCGCCCAUAGCUCCUUCGACGGCGCCGCCUAGGAACGCGGAGAAAAUAUGACAAAGGAACGGCCAAAAAUAAAAAGAAAGACCUUUCUUUUGAAAAAACAAACAAAAAAAAGGAAUGCAACACGAGGACUUCCCAGGAGGUCACCCAUCCUAGUACUACUCUCGCCCAAGCACGCUUAACUUCGGAGUUCUGAUGGGAUCCGGUGCUUUAAUGCUGGUAUGAUCGCAUCCGACAUACCGUGCGUUCUCCUCCCCUUUAUGCCCGCGCCUCCGUGUACGGCCCGCCCAUAGCUCCUUCGACGGCGCCGCCUAGGAACGCGGAGAAAAUAUGACAAAGGAACGGCCAAAAAUAAAAAGAAAGACCUUUCUUUUGAAAAAACAAACAAAAAAAAGGAAUGCAACACGAGGACUUCCCAGGAGGUCACCCAUCCUAGUACUACUUUCGCCCAAGCACGCUUAACUUCGGAGUUCCGAUGGGAUCCGGUGCUUUAGUCCUGGUAUGAUCGCAUCCGACAUACCGUGCGUUCUCCUCCCCUUGAGGCCCGCGCCUCCGUGUACGGCCCGCCCAUAGCUCCUUCGACGGCGCCGCCUAGGAACGCGGAGAAAAUAUGACAAAGGAACGGCCCACAACUAGAAAGAAAGACCUUUCUUUUGAAAAGACAGACAAACAAAAGGAAUGCAACACGAGGACUUCCCAGGAGGUCACCCAUCCUAGUACUACUCUCGCCCAAGCACGCUUAACUUCGGAGUUCUGAUGGGAUCCGGUGCUUUAGUGCUGGUAUGAUCGCAUCCGACAUACCGUGCGUUCUCCUCCCCUUUAUGCCCGCGCCUCCGUGUACGGCCCGCCCAUAGCUCCUUCGACGGCGCCGCCUAGGAACGCGGAGAAAAUAUGACAAAGGAACGGCCAAAAAUAAAAAGAAAGACCUUUCUUUUGAAAAAACAAACAAAUAAAAGGAAUGCAACACGAGGACUUCCCAGGAGGUCACCCAUCCUAGUACUACUCUCGCCCAAGCACGCUUAACUUCGGAGUUCUGAUGGGAUCCGGUGCUUUAGUGCUGGUAUGAUCGCAUCCGACAUACCGUGCGUUCUCCUCCCCUUUAUGCCCGCGCCUCCGUGUACGGCCCGCCCAUAGCUCCUUCGACGGCGCCGCCUAGGAACGCGGAGAAAAUAUGACAAAGGAACGGCCAAAAAUAAAAAGAAAGACCUUUCAUUUUGAAAAAACAAACAAAAAAAAGGAAUGCAACACGAGGACUUCCCAGGAGGUCACCCAUCCUAGUACUACUCUCGCCCAAGCACGCUUAACUUCGGAGUUCUGAUGGGAUCCGGUGCUUUAGUGCUGGUAUGAUCGCAUCCGACAUACCGUGCGUUCUCCUCCCCUUUAUGCCCGCGCCUCCGUGUACGGCCCGCCCAUAGCUCCUUCGACGGCAGCCGCCUAGGAACGCGGAGAAUAUAUGACAAAGGAACGGCCAAAAAUAAAAAGAAAGACCUUUCUUAUGAAAAAACAGACAUACCCAAGGAAUGCAACACGAGGACUUCCCAGGUGCCCAAGCACGCUUAACUUCGGAGUUCUGAUGGGAUCCGGUGCUUUAGUGCUGGUAUGAUCGCAUCCGACAUACCGUGCGUUCUCCUCCCCUUUAUGCCCGCGCCUCCGUGUACGGCCCGCCCAUAGCUCCUUCGACGGCGCCGCCUAGGAACGCGGAGAAAAUAUGACAAAGGAACGGCCAAAAAUAAAAAGAAAGACACUUUCUUUUGAAAAAACAAACAAAAAAAAGGAAUGCAACACGAGGACUUCCCAGGAGGUCACCCAUCCUAGUACUACUCUCGCCCAAGCACGCUUAACUUCGGAGUUCUGAUGGGAUCCGGUGCUUUAGUGCUGGUAUGAUCGCAUCCGACAUACCGUGCGUUCUCCUCCCCUUUAUGCCCGCGCCUCCGUGUACGGCCCGCCCAUAGCUCCUUCGACGGCGCCGCCUAGGAACGCGGAGAAAAUAUGACAAAGGAACGGCCAAAAACAAAAAGAAAGACCUUUCUUUUGAAAAAACAAACGCCUCCGUGUACGGCCCGCCCAUAGCUCCUUCGACGGCGCCGCCUAGGAACGCGGAGAAAAUAUGACAAAGGAACGGCCAAAAAUAAAAAGAAAGACCUUUCUUUUGAAAAAACAAACAAAAAAAAGGAAUGCAACACGAGGACUUCCCAGGAGGUCACCCAUCCUAGUACUACUCUCGCCCAAGCACGCUUAACUUCGGAGUUCUGAUGGGAUCCGGUGCUUUAGUGCUGGUAUGAUCGCAUCCGACAUACCGUGCGUUCUCCUCCCCUUUAUGCCCGCGCCUCCGUGUACGGCCCGCCCAUAGCUCCUUCGACGGCGCCGCCUAGGAACGCGGAGAAAAUAUGACAAAGGAACGGCCAAAAAUAAAAAGAAAGACCUUUCUUUUGAAAAAACAAACGCCUCCGUGUACGGCCCGCCCAUAGCUCCUUCGACGGCGCCGCCUAGGAACGCGGAGAAAAUAUGACAAAGGAACGGCCAAAAAUAAAAAGAAAGACCUUUCUUUUGAAAAAACAAACAAAAAAAAGGAAUGCAACACGAGGACUUCCCAGGAGGUCACCCAUCCUAGUACUACUCUCGCCCAAGCACGCUUAACUUCGGAGUUCUGAUGGGAUCCGGUGCUUUAGUGCUGGUAUGAUCGCAUCCGACAUACCGUGCGUUCUCCUCCCCUUUAUGCCCGCGCCUCCGUGUACGGCCCGCCCAUAGCUCCUUCGACGGCGCCGCCUAGGAACGCGGAGAAAAUAUGACAAAGGAACGGCCAAAAAUAAAAAGAAAGACCUUUCUUUUGAAAAAACAAACGCCUCCGUGUACGGCCCGCCCAUAGCUCCUUCGACGGCGCCGCCUAGGAACGCGGAGAAAAUAUGACAAAGGAACGGCCAAAAAUAAAAAGAAAGACCUUUCUUUUGAAAAAACAAACAAAAAAAAGGAAUGCAACACGAGGACUUCCCAGGAGGUCACCCAUCCUAGUACUACUCUCGCCCAAGCACGCUUAACUUCGGAGUUCUGAUGGGAUCCGGUGCUUUAGUGCUGGUAUGAUCGCAUCCGACAUACCGUGCGUUCUCCUCCCCUUUAUGCCCGCGCCUCCGUGUACGGCCCGCCCAUAGCUCCUUCGACGGCGCCGCCUAGGAACGCGGAGAAAAUAUGACAAAGGAACGGCCAAAAAUAAAAAGAAAGACCUUUCUUUUGAAAAAACAAACAAAUAAAAGGAAUGCAACACGAGGAGUUCCCAGGAGGUCACCCAUCCUAGUACUACUCUCGCCCAAGCACGCUUAACUUCGGAGUUCUGAUGGGAUCCGGUGCUUUAGUGCUGGUAUGAUCGCAUCCGACAUACCGUGCGUUCUCCUCCCCUUUAUGCCCGCGCCUCCGUGUACGGCCCGCCCAUAGCUCCUUCGACGGCGCCGCCUAGGAACGCGGAGAAAAUAUGACAAAGGAACGGCCAAAAAUAAAAAGAAAGACCUUUCUUUUGAAAAAACAAACAAAAAAAAGAAAUGCAACACGAGGACUUCCCAGGAGGUCACCCAUCCUAGUACUACUCUCGCCCAAGCACGCUUAACUUCGGAGUUCUGAUGGGAUCCGGUGCUUUAGUGCUGGUAUGAUCGCAUCCGACAUACCGUGCGUUCUCCUCCCCUUUAUGCCCGCGCCUCCGUGUACGGCCCGCCCAUAGCUCCUUCGACGGCGCCGCCUAGGAACGCGGAGAAAAUAUGACAAAGGAACGGCCAAAAAUAAAAAGAAAGACCUUUCUUUGAAAAAACAAACAAUUCACAGGAAUGCAACACGAGGACUUCCCACGAGGUCACCCAUCCUAGUACUACUCUCGCCCAAGCACGCUUAACUUCGGAGUUCUGAUGGGAUCCGGUGCUUUAGUGCUGGUAUGAUCGCAUCCGACAUACCGUGCGUUCUCCUCCCCUUUAUGCCCGCGCCUCCGUGUACGGCCCGCCCAUAGCUCCUUCGACGGCGCCGCCUAGGAACGCGGAGAAAAUAUGACAAAGGAACGGCCAAAAAUAAAAAGAAAGACCUUUCUUUUGAAAAAACAAACCAAAAAAAAGGAAUGCAACACGAGGACUUCCCAAGAGGUCACCCAUCCUAGUACUACUCUCGCCCAAGCACGCUUAACUUCGGAGUUCUGAUGGGAUCCGGUGCUUUAGUGCUGGUAUGAUCGCAUCCGACAUACCGUGCGUUCUCCUCCCCAUUAUGCCCGCGCCUCCGUGUACGGCCCGCCCAUAGCUCCUUUGACGGCGCCGCUUAGGAACGCGGAGAAAAUAUGACAAAGGAACGGCCAAAAAUAAAAAGAAAGACCUUUCUUUUGAAAAAACAAACAAAUAAAAGGAAUGCAACACGAGGACUUCCCAGGAGGUCACCCAUCCUAGUACUACUCUCGCCCAAGCACGCUUAACUUCGGAGUUCUGAUGGGAUCCGGUGCUUUAGUGCUGGUAUGAUCGCAUCCGACAUACCGUGCGUUCUCCUCCCCUUUAUGCCCGCGCCUCCGUGUACGGCCCGCCCAUAGCUCCUUCGACGGCGCCGCCUAGGAACGCGGAGAAAAUAUGACAAAGGAACGGCCAAAAACAAAAAGAAAGACCUUUCUUUUGAAAAAACAAACAAAAAAAAGGAAUGCAACACGAGGACUUCCCAGGAGGUCACCCAUCCUAGUACUACUCUCGCCCAAGCACGCUUAACUUCGGAGUUCUGAUGGGAUCCGGUGCUUUAGUGCUGGUAUGAUCGCAUCCGACAUACCGUGCGUUCUCCUCCCCUUUAUGCCCGCGCCUCCGUGUACGGCCCGCCCAUAGCUCCUUCGACGGCGCCGCCUAGGAACGCGGAGAAAAUAUGACAAAGGAACGGCCAAAAAUAAAAAGAAAGACCUUUCUUUUGAAAAAACAAACAAAUAAAAGGAAUGCAACACGAGGACUUCCCAGGAGGUCACCCAUCCUAGUACUACUCUCGCCCAAGCACGCUUAACUUCGGAGUUCUGAUGGGAUCCGGUGCUUUAGUGCUGGUAUGAUCGCAUCCGACAUACCGUGCGUUCUCCUCCCCUUUAUGCCCGCGCCUCCGUGUACGGCCCGCCCAUAGCUCCUUCGACGGCGCCGCCUAGGAACGCGGAGAAAAUAUGACAAAGGAACGGCCAAAAAUAAAAAGAAAGACCUUUCUUUUGAAAAAACAAACAAAUAAAAGGAAUGCAACACGAGGACUUCCCAGGAGAUCACCCAUCCUAGUACUACUCUCGCCCAAGCACGCUUAACUUCGGAGUUCUGAUGGGAUCCGGUGCUUUAGUGCUGGUAUGAUCGCAUCCGACAUACCGUGCGUUCUCCUCCCCUUUAUGCCCGCGCCUCCGUGUACGGCCCGCCCAUAGCUCCUUCGACGGCGCCGCCUAGGAACGCGGAGAAAAUAUGACAAAGGAACGGCCAAAAAUAAAAAGAAAGACCUUUCUUUUGAAAAAACAAACAAAAAAAAGGAAUGCAACACGAGGACUUCCCACGAGGUCACCCAUCCUAGUACUACUCUAGUACCAAGCACGCUUAACUUCGGAGUUCUGAUGGGAUCCGGUGCUUUAGUGCUGGUAUGAUCGCAUCCGACAUACCGUGCGUUCUCCUCCCCUUUAUGCCCGCGCCUCCGUGUACGGCCCGCCCAU
rnacentral:lncRNA from 1 species